rfam:Lactobacillus kimchicus JCM 15530 Scaffold2, whole genome shotgun sequence.
CAAACCUUUAACAUUAGUCCUGUGAGGCUAAGAAGGGUCGGUGCAUUUUGCGAACAAAUUUGUUCACAACCCCUCUGUCCACAGGCGACGGAGGGGUUUUUGAUU